rnacentral:misc_RNA from 1 species
ACCAGCAAGAAAGACACGAC